rnacentral:tRNA from 1 species
GGGCGAGUGGUGGAAUUUGGCAGACACGCAGGACUUAGAAUCCUGUGCUAACGCGUGCGAGUUCGAGUCUCGCCUCGCCCACCA